rnacentral:rRNA from 1 species
UACGGAGGGGGCAAGCGUUACUCGGAAUUAUUGGGCGUAAAGGGCGCGUAGGCGGUCGUGUGCGUCGGAGGUGAAAUCCCCGGGCUUAACCCGGGAGCUGCCUCCGAUACGGCAUGGCUUGAGUUCGGUAGGGGAGACUGGAAUUCCUGGUGUAGCGGUGAAAUGCGCAGAUAUCAAGAGGAACACCUGCGGCGAAGGCGGGUUGCUGGGCCGACACUGACGCUGAGGCGCGAAAGCCAGGGGAGCGAACGGG